UGCACACCAUUAAAACUCAGGGUAGAAGCCAAAGAACUUCUGAGUUUUGGCCAAUGAACUUCUGACUGUUGGUUUCCUGUUAGAUGAACUGCAGUAAUUUGCUAGCACCAGUAGAGCUUGUCUCUAUGACUAGAGUUUGAUAGUACCACUCCCACAUUC
rnacentral:snoRNA from 1 species